rnacentral:rRNA from 1 species
UAACAGACAGUCCAUGAGUGCUAAGAUUCAUGGUCAAAAGGGAAACAGCCCAGACUAUUAAUUAAGGCUCCUAAAAAUAAUUAAGUGAAAAAAUUGUGAAAAAAUGUCGACAACCGAAAGGUAGGCUUAGAAGCAGCCAUCCUUUAAAGAAAGCGUAACAGCUCAUUGGUUUAGUUUUUUUGCAUUGAAAAUGUUUGGAACUAAAAUUAUUUGCCGAAAUUAUAGAUUUUUAAAUAAAAAAUGGUAGCAGAACGUUCUGUAUGUUUAAGAAGUUCUAUAGUAAUAUAGAAUGGAGAUAUCAGAAAUGAAAAUGUUGGUAUGAGUAACGAUAAACAAUGUGUAAAACAUUGUCGCCUAAAGUUCAAGGUUUCCAAAACAAGGCUAAUCCGUUUUGGUAUUUUAAUCGGUCUCUAAGAAAAAAACGAAAGUUUUAUUUUAAUGAGAUAAAAAUAAAUUUUUUGAUUUUUGAAGUGACAAAGCAUGAAUGUUAUUUUUAUUUUAUGGUUAUAAUAAAGGUUGCAUAGUGCUUUCUAGAAAUAGCUUCUUAAGUUAAUAAAACCGUACCCUAAACCGACACAGGUGAACAAGUUUAGUAAACUAAGGCGCUUGAGAGAAUUAUGUUGAAGGAACUCGGCAAAAUGACUCCGUAACUUCGGGAGAAGGAGUGACUCUAUAAAGGCAACUUUAUAGGGUUGUCACAAAAUCGGGGACAGCGACUGGUUAACAAAACCACAGGUCUCUGCUAAUUCGUAAGAAGAUGUAUUGAGGCUGACGCCUGCCCAGUGCUGUAAGAUUAAAGGAAAAGGUUUUUUGGCCUUGACCCUAACUCCCAGUAAACGGCGGCUGUAACUCUGACGGUCCUAAGGUAGCGAAAUUCCUUGGCAUUUAAUUGGUGUCCUGCAUGAAUGGCGUAACGACUGUCCCACUGUCUCCAACAUAAGCUCAGUGAAAUUGAAAUGUUCGUGAAGAUGCGAACUACUCGCGGCUAGACGGAAAGACCCCGGCACCUUUACUGCAGUUAUACAUUGUAAUGAAUUUUUUUUUGUGUAGAAUAAGUGGGAAGUUGUUAAUUUUUUAGCUACUUGCACUAGCAAGUAAGAUAAACAUCGUUGAAAUACCACUCUAAAAACUUUUCAUUACUUAUUGAUUAAGACAUUGUAUAAUGGGUAGUUUGACUGGGGCGGUCGCCUCCUAAAGAGUAACGGAGGCGUGCAAAGGUAAACUUAAGUUGAACUAGUACAACUUUUAAGCAUAAUAGUAUAUGUUUGCCUGAUUGUAAGAUUGACAAAUCGAGCAAGGACGAAAGUCGGUUAUAGUGAUCCGGUAAUUCUGUGUGA